UCGAAAGAGUGGCUAAUACCGCAUGACAUCUAAGGAUAAAAGCAGGGGACCUUCGGGCCUUGUGCUACUAGAGCGGCCGAUGGCAGAUUAGGUAGUUGGUGGGAUAAAAGCUUACCAAGCCAACGAUCUGUAGCUGGUCUGAGAGGACGAUCAGCCACACUGGGACUGAGACACGGCCCAGACUCCUACGGGAGGCAGCAGUGGGGAAUUUUGGACAAUGGGCGCAAGCCUGAUCCAGCAAUGCCGCGUGCAGGAUGAAGGCCUUCGGGUUGUAAACUGCUUUUGUACGGAACGAAAAGCUCUGGGCUAAUACCUCGGAGUCAUGACGGUACCGUAAGAAUAAGCACCGGCUAACUACGUGCCAGCAGCCGCGGUAAUACGUAGGGUGCGAGCGUUAAUCGGAAUUACUGGGCGUAAAGCGUGCGCAGGCGGUUUUGUAAGACAGUGGUGAAAUCCCCGGGCUCAACCUGGGAACUGCCAUUGUGACUGCAAGGCUGGAGUGCGGCAGAGGGGGAUGGAAUUCCGCGUGUAGCAGUGAAAUGCGUAGAUAUGCGGAGGAA
rnacentral:rRNA from 1 species